AGAGCGAACGCUGGCGGCAGGCCUAACACAUGCAAGUCGAGCGCCCGUAGCAAUACGGGAGCGGCAGACGGGAUAGUAACACGUGGGAACGCGCCCUUCGGUUCGGAAUAACUCAGGGAAACUUGAGCUAAUACCGAAUACGCCCUUACGGGGAAAGAUUUAUUGCCGAAGGAACGGCCCGCGUCCGAUUAGCUAGUUGGUGAGGUAAUGGCUCACCAAGGCUACGAUCGGUAGCUGGUCUGAGAGGAUGACCAGCAUCACUGGGACUGAGACACGGCCCAGACUCCUACGGGAGGCAGCAGUGGGGAAUAUUGGACAAUGGGCGCAAGCCUGAUCCAGCCAUGCCGCGUGGACGAUGAAGGCCUUAGGGUUGUAAAGUCCUUUUAACGGGGAAGAUAAUGACGGUACCCGUAGAAUAAGCCCGGCUAACUUCGUGCCAGCAGCCGC
rnacentral:rRNA from 1 species